AGAGUUUGAUCAUGGCUCAGAUUGAACGCUGGCGGCAUGCUUUACACAUGCAAGUCGAACGGCAGCGGGGGCUUCGGCCUGCCGGCGAGUGGCGAACGGGUGAGUAAUGCAUCGGAACGUGCCCAUGUUGUGGGGGAUAACUACGCGAAAGCGUAGCUAAUACCGCAUAAGCCCUGAGGGGGAAAGCGGGGGAUUCUUCGGAACCUCGUGCGAUUGGAGCGGCCGAUGUCGGAUUAGCUAGUAGGUGAGGUAAAGGCUCACCUAGGCGACGAUCCGUAGCGGGUCUGAGAGGAUGAUCCGCCACACUGGGACUGAGACACGGCCCAGACUCCUACGGGAGGCAGCAGUGGGGAAUUUUGGACAAUGGGCGCAAGCCUGAUCCAGCCAUGCCGCGUGAGUGAAGAAGGCCUUCGGGUUGUAAAGCUCUUUCGGCCGGGAAGAAAUCGUGUUCUCUAACAUAGGACAUGGAUGACGGUACCGGACUAAGAAGCACCGGCUAACUACGUGCCAGCAGCCGCGGUAAUACGUGGGGUGCGAGCGUUAAUCGGAAUUACUGGGCGUAAAGCGUGCGCAGGCGGUUUUGUAAGACAGAUGUGAAAUCCCCGGGCUUAACCUGGGAACUGCGUUUGUGACUGCAAGGCUCGAGU
rnacentral:rRNA from 1 species